ACACACCCCUGAGCUCACUGCUCCAGCCGCACAGCAGGGGCUGAAGGCAGCCACACCAGGGUAGGAGCUGGGGCGCACUGACAGAGCCCCAACCGACAGCUUCGGGGCUCAGCCGCUGCCCGCCAAAGACAGUGUGACACAGGGCUGUCACACAAGUGUCCAGGGGGUACCAACAGCAAACCAAGCGAGGCACCAGCACCGGCUGGGCUCCACGCCUGGGCGCAGCCGUGGAUGCCCACUGUGUCGGCAGGCAGGAGCUGGGCACGGGCGCGUGGGGAAAGCCCCAAUGUGUUUUACCACCCUCGGCAUAAAACAAUAAACUGCUGUCCUCAUGUCUAGUCUCAGUGUGCCCUCUUUUAUAUGAAAACCCUAUGUGCUAUUACCACAGCAGGGUCUGCUACAAGGCCCUAGCUUUACUUGCUGCUGCUGAGGUUUAGAAAAGCAUGACAGCCACGUGGGCUACAACGAGCUGAGGAGGUACGUGAAGGUGUCUCAGAGUGAGCUACAGUAGCAAGGCGACUUUCACUACACUGUGAAACUCUGCAGCCAACCAGUGGCUCUUCCUAUAUAUUUCUUCCAGCAGGAACCCAUGGUUUCUUCUUCUAAGAGGAAAACAGAAACUGAGUAUACUUGAGUAAUACCAAGUAUUGGUAGGCAUGGCAUGGGAGGGCAGCGGCAGCCUUGUACCUUUUCUCAGCACUUUUUUGCUCAGCUCAGGUCCCCAUCACUGAUGGCAGGCUUUCCCUACUACCUACACCAGACCACUCUCUAAAAGGUAAUAGACGCUUCACUGUUAGAUUACAGUGACCUUUUUUUUUUCAGGAGGAUAGACGAAGUCCAUAUCCUUUUCUCUGUGACAGGAUUUUAUGAUCAUUUGUUGUCCCUAAGGCCCUAAAGUCUACAGCAGGCUGCAGGCCAGACCAGACGUGCCCAUAGCACAGCCACCACAGAACAGCCCAGGUCCUGGACAUAACCCUGGGAGCAUAAAACUCUGUGAAACCAGUUUCCCUAAGCCAGCCUGGGAAGGAGAGCGAGACAGCCCCCACAGAGCUCCUGGCCACCAAACCAGGUCACUCCCAGCUUCUGAGCAUUUCAUUUUCUCUUGGGCAGCCAGACACUACCAUGCAGCUUACAACAGAGGGUCCCCAGCAGUCCCCCAUAUUCCGUGCAAACAAAAUAAUGUGAGCAAAGGAGAGCGAAACCCUCUGGGCUGCCUUUGCCUGCAGACAUGUUAAGCAGCGCUGGUCCCAGUGUCAAUGCCUGAGGAAUGCCCCUUGGCACUGGUCUCCACUUGGCCAUUGAGCUUUUGAUUGCAACUCUUUCAGCACGACCAUCCAGCAAAUUGCUUAUACACCACAUCACUGAUCUACACUUGGGUGACUGGAUCUGUAGUCUCAAUUUGCAUCGUAUCAUAAAUUUGCUACCAUGACUUUUGUCUCUCUCUUCACUAUUUUUGAUAUGGAAAGCCAUCGUGCUUCAACAUUCCUCGUGUUUAAGUAUGUUUAAGUAUGAAACUACAUGUUUAAGUAGUUUCACCAUCAUGGAACAUCAGAACUAAGAAGACAUUUUCUAUUCUGUGGAAGUUUGAGAAGCUGAUGAAAGGCUUUUGCCUAAUAUCCUCAUUCUACCAAAGAAUUAAUGCGCAACAGAUUACUUGAAGAGAUUUAAUAAACUGGGACAAUACUGGCUGGUCUGACAGGCCAGUUUCUUUCAUAUGGUACAUUAGUCAGAGUUCGGUUUCUGUCUUCUGGAAGUUGAUUUUGCUUGCAAUUCAGACUCUGGGACCCAUCUUCAAAUGUAUCUGCACUAGUGGAUACUGGACCUUUAAAGAGCCCAAUCACAUGAACAGCCUGGAAAGAGUCCCCUGGAAGCACAAGGCCAUUAUCUGAUUCAGUUUCAAACUGGAGCCCCAUUAUAAAAAAGUAUUACUCUUUGGAACAUAGUCUGUCCUCCUAGGGGUGCUUUUUACCAUUUUCAACAUGAGAUAAAUGAUCUGGAAGACCAAGAGCAUGGUAAACAGGCCAAAAUUUGAGAGUUAAUACGUUGUUGGUUAUUUAUUGUAACAAUUAUAUUAUGCCUGUGCUUUCAAGGAUGCGGCAAUUAAUAAAGUCCCUUAACACACGA